ACGUAGGGUGCAAGCGUUGUCCGGAAUUAUUGGGCGUAAAGAGCUCGUAGGCGGCUUGUCGCGUCUGCUGUGAAAACCCGAGGCUCAACCUCGGGCUUGCAGUGGGUACGGGCAGGCUAGAGUGCGGUAGGGGAGAUUGGAAUUCCUGGUGUAGCGGUGGAAUGCGCAGAUAUCAGGAGGAACACCAAUGGCGAAGGCAGAUCUCUGGGCCGUAACUGACGCUGAGGAGCGAAAGCAUGGGGAGCGAACAGG
rnacentral:rRNA from 1 species